CCUACGGGGGGCAGCAGUGGGGGAUAUUGCACAAUGGGGGAAACCCUGAUGCAGCGACGCCGCGUGGGCGAAGAAGUAUUUCGGUAUGUAAAGCCCUAUCAGCAGGGAAGAAGAAAUGACGGUACCUGAGUAAGAAGCACCGGCUAAAUACGUGCCAGCAGCCGCGGUAAUACGUAUGGUGCAAGCGUUAUCCGGAUUUACUGGGUGUAAAGGGAGCGUAGACGGCAGUGCAAGUCUGGAGUGAAAGGCGGGGGCUCAACCCCCGGACUGCUCUGGAAACUGUACGGCUGGAGUGCAGGAGAGGUAAGUGGAAUUCCUAGUGUAGCGGUGAAAUGCGUAGAUAUUAGGAGGAACACCAGUGGCGAAGGCGGCUUACUGGACUGUAACUGACGUUGAGGCUCGAAAGCGUGGGGAGCAAACAGGAUUAGAUACCCGGGUAGUC
rnacentral:rRNA from 1 species